GGGAUUGUAGCUCAGUGGUAGAGCACUUGCCUAGCAUGUGUGAGGCCCUGGGUUUGAUCCUCAGCACCA
rnacentral:tRNA from 1 species